UGAGGUGAAACCAUAGCUCAGCAGAGGC
rnacentral:piRNA from 1 species